UCCACCUCUUCCCAACCAUCACUGUUCCUUGUCUCUCUUUAUUCCCACAUUAAAAUACACCAACACAUUCUCUCUCUCUCUCUCUCUCUCCCUCUAAAAUUUGCCACUUCAACUUCCUCCUCUAGUAGGUAUUUUGAGUAAGAGUAAGAGAACAACCUUCUUCUGUUGUGGUUAGUACGAUUUAAACUGUUGGUUUAACUGGACCAGUAUUUUGUCCUGUGGCGAGAGGUCAUGUUAGGUCGAGUCAUUUUCGAAAUGGCGUGAGACUGGGUGAACCGAGUCAUGUUCGAAAUGUCGUGACGCUGGUUGGGCCGAGUCAUAACCGAGACCCGUGGACACUGUGUCUGUACGCUUUAAGUGAAUUGGUUGCGUAUUUUUAACAGCUCGAGUUUUUGGAAUUGAUGAUUAGCGCCAACGAUCUGACAUAAGCCACAAAAAUCUGAUAUUUAAAGCCAGAUCAACUUUAGAAUAAGAUGUUAUCGAAAUAUGCGAUUCUUUUAUCUCGAUCAGACGCCGGCAUCAAGGACUCUGAAAUAGAAAAAUAAUAAAAUUGAGAGCGUGAAAACUAUUAAACAGUGGUCCUUGAUGGGUA
rnacentral:lncRNA from 1 species